AUGAUCAUACUUUAUAGGAUCAAAUUCUAUAGUCGAUUUCCCGGGGGUUUUUUCGCCGAGAUUCUCGGAAAAUUUCAAACAUGAGGACUGUUUGUGGGAAUUUCCCUGAGCGGGGAAACGGCUUCCCAAAUGUUUUACUUUAGGAUUUUUAUGACCGUUCUGAAAUCGGUUUUUCCGAUGUUCAAAGGGGAGACCAGGCUGAGUGGU